rfam:Heliobacterium modesticaldum Ice1, complete genome.
CCGUGCUACACGGGGCGUUAGCGGUGCCUUGUCACCCGCAAUCCGCUGCAGCGGGGUGGAUGCCCGAAUUGAGGGCCUGACUUGUGGGGUCCGGCUUCUGCAAGUGACGUUGAAGAUUGGGUCCUGCGCAACGGAAACCUAUGAACCCCGCCAGGUCCGGGAGGAAGCAACGGUAAGUAGGCCCUUUCGGGUGCCGCAGGGGAGCCUGGUCUGAGUUAACUACAGGGGUAACGCCCGGAAGCCAGUGUUCGAAGUCGGGUGCACGG